rnacentral:lncRNA from 10 species
GCAGGGGUUCCGAGGCGGACCUGGGGAGCAGAAACCCCUGUUUAGGGUGAACCGUGGCGGGCGCCGAUGGCCUCUUGGAAGAGGACAGACUAGCAGCUGCGAGGGAGAUGGGACUGGGUUUCACCCCUGAAAGGGCCCCUGGAGACAGCGGGUGAGGGACAGGGGAAGGGGCUGGUGGUCCUCUCUCCCGAGGCCCCGCACCAUCACACGGAUGACUUGGCACAAUAGCUGCUGGGCCAGUGUUGUCGCCUGUGACUGUACUUUAGGGAAACUGACAGGGAGAUCAUGAUGUCGCCAUUUUGAUGGGGUCCCCAGAGGAGAGAUGUCCUCCCCAACGGCUCCUGGACAGGACUGGGGAAAGAGUUCAGAUAAGUAUCUCUGUGGUCUGGGCUGUCACCUUACAACUGCACAACUCUGGACCUCCAGCAUCAGAACCACUGGGGCCUAGGUUAAUAAUACAGAUUUUCAGGCUCCAAUUUGGACAGACGAAACUGAUCUCUGGGGUGGGACCCAGGAAUCUACGUGUAAACAAGCACCCAGGGGAGUUCUGCUCACUGAAAUUUGAGAAUCCCUGAUUUAGAAGGAGGACUAUGCUCUGUGCAUGUUCUCUGAAAUGUUGGGUCAAUCAGGACCUGUCUACUGAAACUGCUCCAACCAGCCAAGGUGCAGAGAAAAGAUGCGUGCAGGGCCGAAAACCAGGGUGCUCUGGAGGCAGGGAGCCCUCGAGAAUGUAAAGCCAGCAAGCUGUUACAGAGUGAUUUGCACAGAACAGACACUCAGUUGAUAUUUGUCAAUUUGCUGUGUUUAAGAACCUUGCUGAAUUAAUUU